CCAAUAGCGUAUAUUAAAGUUGCUGCAGUUAAAAAGCUCGUAGUUGAAUUUCGGGACCAAUAUGUCGGUCGUGCCUCGGUACGUACUGGCAUCGUUGGUUUCUCCCUUCUGACGAACCAUGAUGUCAUUUAUUUGGUGUCGUGGGGAAUCAGGACUGUUACUUUGAAAAAAUUAGAGUGCUUAAAGCAGGCUCACGCUUGAAUACAUUAGCAUGGAAUAAUGAAAUAGGACGUUUGAUUCUAUUUUGUUGGUUUCUAGGAUCGACGUAAUGAUUAAUAGGGAUAGUUGGGGGCAUUAGUAUUCAAUUGUCAGAGGUGAAAUUCUUGGAUUUAUUGAAGACUAACUACUGCGAAAGCAUUUGCCAAGGAUGUUUUCAUUAAUCAAGAACGAAAGUUAGGGGAUCGAAGACGAUCAGAUACCGUCGUAGUCUUAACCAUAAACUAUGCCGACUAGGGAUCGGAUGAUGUUAAUUUUUUAAUGACUCAUUCGGCGCCUUACG
rnacentral:rRNA from 1 species